AAUAUUGGACAAUGGGGGCAACCCUGAUCCAGCCAUGCCGCGUGUGUGAUGAAGGUCUUCGGAUUGUAAAGCACUUUAAGUUGGGAGGAAGGGCUUUAGGUUAAUACCCUGAAGUUUCGACGUUACCAUUAGAUGAAGCACCGGCUAACUAUGUGCCGGCAGCGGUGGUAAUACACAAGGUGCAAGCGUUAAUCGGAAUUACUGGGCGUAAAGCACGCGUAUGUAGUUCAGUAAGAUGGGUGUGAAAUCCCCGGGCUUAACCUGGGAACUGCUUGCAUAACUGCUGAGCUAGAGUACGGUAGAGGGUAGUGGAAUUUCCUGUGUAGCGGUGAAAUACGUAGAUAUAGGAAGGAACACCAGUGGCGAAGGCGACUACCUGGACUGAUACUGACACUGAGGUGCGAAAGCGUGGGGAGCAAAC
rnacentral:rRNA from 1 species